AUAACAAUCACGUCAACUUUACCAUUCCUGAUAGGGCCAUAUAACUCAACUCAUCACUCUUGUGACUUUCUUGACCAAAACACCCCUCCCUGAUUACAGUACUCCUAGAUAUUUUGCCUUCUCCUAACAAUAUAUAAGACCUUGAGGUCUAUUGAAAGCCAAUGUUUGCUGUGAAGUUACAUCCAUGAAGUUUUAAUGCAUUUAGAUAAAUAGAAGACAGUGUUGGUGAUGAGAAGAUCAUGAAAUCUAUAAAUCUUCACUACUCUUUUUGUAGGGACAAAAAAUUGGAAAUCGAAUGGACGCCCAUCAGCUGCAGAAUGGCUCAAUAAUUACAGCAAAUGAAUAUAAUGGAGAAUUAUUGUUCCCUAACAAAUGAAGAGCAGACCAAUUUCAGAAAAUCCUGGAAAGACUUAUAUGAACUGAUGCAGAGUGAAGUGAGCAGAACCAGGAGAACAUUGU